GACGAACGCUGGCGGCGUGCUUAACACAUGCAAGUCGAACGGAAAGGCCCUGCUUUUGUGGGGUGCUCGAGUGGCGAACGGGUAAGUAACACGUGAGUAACCUGCCCUUGACUUUGGGAUAACUUCAGGAAACUUGGGAUCAUACCGGAUAUGAGCUCCUGCUGCAUGGUGGGGGUUGGAAAGUUUCGGCGGUUGGGGCUGGGCUCGCGGCUUAUCAGGUUGUUGGUGGGGUAGUGGCUUACGACGUCUUUGACGGGUAGCCGGCCGUGGAGGGUGACCGGCCACAUUGGGCCUGAGAGACGGCCCAGACUCCAACGGGAGGCAGCAGUGGGGAAUAUUGCACAAUGGGCGGAAGCCUGAUGCAGCAACGCCGCGGUCGGGAUGACGGCCUUCGGGUUGUAAACCGCUUUCGCCUGUGACGAAGCGUGAGUGACGGUAAUGGGUAAAGAAGCACCGGCUAACUACGUG
rnacentral:rRNA from 1 species